GGAAGGUUCAUCCUCUGCUGCCAUACCACCACCAUCCACCUUUGACAUUGUGGGCUGACAUAAUAAAAUAUGAAGCAUUACAUUUGGAGCUGCUCUAAUAUUAUAGGAUAUGCUCCCUCCAGAGCUUAACAUUAUGGAUGUGGUGCUUUCUUUGGCUGGAUAUGUUGCAGCAUAAGCAGAAAGAAGCCUGCAAUUAAGAAGUACCUUUGUCCCUUCCUGUGCAGAAGAAACUGGAGGAUUUUCAUGGCACACUUCCUACAGUGAGAUACAGUCGCUGUCACAGGAAAUCACUCUCCAUUAAAUGUAGUUUACAAAAGCAGAAUAAACAGAGACGACCCAAAUGACUGCCAUCAUUGUGUGCUCAAUAAAUUCCUGGCUUUACAGACUGGAUUAACAUAAGCCUUCAGGUACAGGGGAAAAAAAAAAUCGUUGAAUCUCCCAGAAAAUAUCACAUUGGAGGAAUUUUACAUUCUGGUCCAGGAUGCUCAGCAGAAUUCAUACUAGGAUGAAGAUUUUGUUCAUAAUACAAUGGUUGGCUGAAAAUUUCCACCUUUUAGAAAGAUAUUUUUCAAAUGAGAAAUACCCACACAACAACUGAUUAACAUCAGCCAGCAGGAAUUUAAAUAGCAAUUGUUAGAAGUUUCUAUCACAGUAAGUACCAAAAUCAUCUUAAUUACAGGUUUUAAAAAGUAGACAUAAUAAGUCUUUGGAAUAAUUAUUAAAAAUCUAACAUUUUUAUGACAGUUUU
rnacentral:lncRNA from 1 species